rnacentral:piRNA from 1 species
UCCCCCACAAAAGCAGUAUUCUGAGAGUGU